rnacentral:rRNA from 1 species
UACGGAGGGUGCGAGCGUUAAUCGGAAUUACUGGGCGUAAAGCGUACGUAGGCGGUUGUGUAAGUCGGAUGUGAAAGCCCCGGGCUUAACCUGGGAACUGCAUUCGAUACUGCUCGGCUAGAGUAUGGGAGAGGGAAGCGGAAUUUACGGUGUAGCGGUGAAAUGCGUAGAUAACGGAAGGAACACCAAUGGCGAAGGCAGCUUCCUGGCCCAAUACUGCCGCUCAGGUGCGAAAGCGUGGGGAUCAAACAGG